rnacentral:tRNA from 1 species
GGAUGUAGCUCAGUUGGUUAGAGCGUCAGAUUGUGGUUCUGAAAGUCGUCGGUUCGAGCCCGAUCUU